CCGAUGCUACCAGUUGGGGCAAGGAAGCCCUGAGAACCAGUAUAUUACAAAGGUUGUUUCUGUCGCCUGUCUGUCCCCACUAGAAGUUACCUGUGUAACUGGAGAAACCAUAAGAUGCUCCAUAGGAAAAAGGACACCAACCCAGUGAAUGCCAGAAUGGAGAGUGGAUCCGCUUACAGUCCUUCCUGGGAUACAGUAAUGGUGAUCGAAGUCAGGGCCUUUCUCUUGGCAGCACCACUGAGCUAAAUCCCUGGCCCAAAAUGAUCAGAUUUUUAAGAAGUUUGACCCUUCAUCUGACAGCCUGAUGGCCUCUUAUCUAAACCUGAAAAAAUCUCUCCAGG